GGAUGCGAUCAUACCAGCACUAAAUCACCGGAUCCGAUCAGAACUUCGAAGGCACUAAAUCACCGGAUCCCAUCAGAACUCCGAAGUUAAGCUUGCUUUGGCGAGGUAGUACUAGGAUGGGUGACCUCCUGGUGAGUCCUCGUGUUUCAUUCC
rnacentral:rRNA from 16 species